AGUGAACGCUGGCGGUAGGCCUAACACAUGCAAGUCGAACGGCAGCACAGUAAGAGCUUGCUCUUACGGGUGGCGAGUGGCGGACGGGUGAGGAAUACAUCGUAAUCUACUUUUUCGUGGGGGAUAACGUAGGUAAACUUACGCUAAUACCGCAUACGCCGUACCGGGGAAAGCAUGGGAUCUUCUCGCCUUGCGCGAUUGAAUGAGCCGCUGUCGGAUUAGCUAGUUGGCGGGGUAAUUGCCCAGCAAGGCGACGAUCCGUAGCCGGUCUGAGAGGAGGGUCGGCCACACUGGAAGUGAGACACGGUCCAGACUACUACGGGAGGCAGCAGUGGGGAAUAUUGGACAGUGGGCGGGAGUAUGGUCCAGCCAGACCGCGUGGGUGACGAAGACCUUGGGGUUGUGAAGCCCUUUUGUUGGGAAAGAAAAGCAGCAGGUUGAUACCCAGCUGUUCUGACGGUACCCAAAGAAUAAGCACCGGCUAACUUCGUG
rnacentral:rRNA from 1 species